GGCUUCGGCGGCUGCGAACGUCCCGGGCUGCCAUGCGCACAAGUGCAGCAAGAGGUGGCGGCGAGAGGCGGAGGGAGCGGGCAGCGGCGGCGUCAGCCCGGUGGGGGACAGCGUCGAUGGCUUGCGGUGGCUUCGGGGGUGGCGGUGUCGCUGGGGGACGGGAGUUGGUGGCGCCACCCGCCGCAGAGGACGCUUCCCGCCUGUCCUCCCUCCCCCGCCUGUUCCUCCCGCUGACACCGCCCGGGAGCAGUGCCGACACCGCCGCCCGGGAAGGCCGGCAUCCGCUGACGACGCCCACGGCCAGCGCCCUCCAACACCAACCGCCCGCCCGCGGCCUUCUACCGCAGCCUCCUCCCGCCGGCUUCAGGGCCCCCGCGCCAGGCACCCGGUGCCCCCGUCCUCACUCAGGCCUCGCCUCCUCGCAGCAGCAGCUCAUAAUGCCUUCGGCUGACACCUACCCGGACGCCUGGAGACACCGCCGCCCGCCAGUGCCUCCUCCCGCUGACGCCGCUGUCGCGCGCCGAAGCCCUGCACCGCUGGCCAGCGCCCAUCGACACCUAACGUCCGCGGCCUUCUACCGCAGCCUCCUCCCGCCGGCUUCAGGGCCCCCUCGCCAGGGACCCGGUGCCCCCGUCCUCACGCAGGCCACGCCCCCUCGCCGCAGCAGCUCAUAAUGCCUCCCGCUGACACCCGGCCCGGACGCUUGCCGACACCGCUGCCUGCCAUUGCCUUCUCCUGCUGACACCUACUUCGCUGCCUUUGCCAACACUCGCGGACGCCCAGCGCCUUCGGCAGCCAGACGUCACCGCCUUCUACCCCAGACUCCUGCCGCCACCAACAGGGACCCUCCUUCACGGGGACCGGACCCCCUCCUUCCCACGCAGUCCUGGCCGCCGUGCAGCAGCCUCAGCUCAUAGUCUCCACAGGAAGCAACUUCGUCUGUCUGAAGUCAAUUCAUGAAAGUUCUACUUAAUCCAUUUCUGCAAACGUGCUGUUCUCUACCUCCUGGGUUACACGAGGCAGGUCAGCAGUGUAAAGAACUGGCUGUUCAUAUACAGCUUUGUGCAGAAGUUGGUAAACAAAUUUGGAAAGUAUGGCCUUUCAGCUCUGUAUUGCAGGGUGUUUUCCUGAUAACUGAGUACAUUGCUAUUUAGAUGCAGCGGAUGUGGGACUGCUUCAGGUCACAAAGCUCAGGGCAGUGUUCUGAAGCAGGAAAAAGGACAGAUCACACUUGUUUCCUAAGAUCACAACCCUGCUUGGCUCCUUCCUGGGAGUCAGGUCGUGGUUUCAGGGACACAGUCUUCCCUGGAGGACCUCACAGAUUAGGAAAUAGGCAAACUACUUAACACUGUAACUAAACAUCUGGAUGUGGACAUUUGACCUAGAUCUUGAAGGAUGAGAAAGACAAGGUAACAAGAACCAUGAAGGUCAUUUGAGCAGUAAGGGGUCUAUUUGGCUGAACAUGAUUAACACAGGAAGGCUGGGAGAUGCAGCGAGAGGUCAGCUUGGGGCCAAGGCCAAAGAGGCCAAUAAUGCCAGGAAGAAGGGCUUGGAUUUCCUGCUGUGAGCCAUAGGGAGCUUUGGAUGAUGUGUGAUCAGGGGUCUGACGUGACUCCAGAAAGACACGACUCCGCUGUACUCCAGGAAGAGAGGUCUCAUACUUGUGGACAAGGGCCAGGACUGGUGGGGAGCUCAUACAGGGACCUAUGCUAACAAUUUAACUGAAGGAUAAUGAGGGCCAGGUGAUCAGAAGAGAGUGGCCACGAAAAGGGAGGGGAGAAUAUGAAUGGCUGCCAAGAGGAAGAAUAAUUUCUUUGAGGUGAGGGGGAGGGAGGUGGGGAAGAUAGUCCAGAAAGGAGGACAAGUGAAAAUGCAAAGAAUUUUACAGGAGAGGAGAGGCCAGCUUGGGAGGCCCUUGUGGAAGUGUAUGUAGCUGUCUAUCUCCUUGUGCAUGCAGCAGGCCUGUGUGCAUGUUGGUGUGUGUGUGUGUGUGUGUGUAUGUGUGUGAGAAAGAGAGAGGCAGAGAGAAAAAAACAGAAUUUUGGGAUUUGGACUACAUGAGCAGGAUGCUAUGCCACACUCUGACAAGCAGCUGCACACCUUCCAGGCCUCAUAAUCCUUCCCUAAAGUUAUGAGAACUUCUGGAGUCUGUAAAUGGACUCCAGACUAAAAGAGACAGAAUGGAAAGCAGGGAAUUUGGCAGGCACCCCCUCCCUGGUGCCCAACCUCACUCCCCAGGCACUGUUUGAUGGGUAGAGGUCCAUCCUCUGGGCGACCCUGAGAGAGCCGCAUUUGAGGCUUUCCCCAGCUAAGCUCACAAGUGACCCCUUGUUACCUGCUCAGAAUUACCUGGUCUUUCUGGGAACCUUCCAUGCCCACAAAAUAAAGAGUUGCCCCAACUGCUUAGAUUCUGCAGCCUGAGAAAAGGAAAGUGUUGGGUAUAAUACAUUUGAUCCAAAUAUGUGGAUCAGAAGGCUGGUAACAAUGGACUGAAUUCACUUCCACCACUGUCUCUGUAAAUGGUCAUGGCAGCAGUUUUCCAUCUGUCAACGUGAUGGUGAGUCUGGGAGCAUCGCCUGUGGGAGAAGCAGGGAGCGACUGGGUCAAUGAGAGCAACUGCCACAGGCUGCCAGGACCCAAACACUGCUUGCCGCACCUCACCCUCCUGGGGAGAGGCCACCUGGACCUGAGCUCCUGCCACCCACAUGCCUGGAAGGCUUUGCAGCUUAUCAUGCAACAAGAAGGGCCCCUAGCCCAGGACCCACUCUGCAGAUGAGGUGAGUGAUCCCAGCUCAGGGGUGACGGGUGCCUGGAGGAGAGGCCUGAAGGAAACCUCCCCCCAGGAAGAGCCAGGCCCCACCCGGUGAGGAGAACCCAGUCCUGCGGGGCCCAGAGAUGACAGGGAUGGACAGGAACCGGUUGGCAGACGUUGAGGAAGAAAGAGCCCCACAGUGUCUGUCAGGCUCUGCCGUCUCUUCCCUGAUUCCACAUCGUCUAUUGUUGUCAGACCCAUUGGUUCCUCCUAAGCUUCCCACGGCAGCUGAGAGCCAUCCUGCUCUCCCUGCAGGCAGUGUGGGGCCCCAGGGAACCCAAAACACACCUGCCAGAGUCCCCUUGCAGGGGACUGUUCCAGCCACAGCGCCUGCCCCAUGCUUACACCUGUCAGAGCUCAGAGGGGCCUGAACCACAGGGUCUGGCAGCCAUGGUGCCACCUGCCAUUGGGUCCAGGACCACUUUCUGGUCUGUUCUCUGCCUUCCUCUGGUCCCCACCAAACUGCAAUGUAAUGAACCUGCCCCCCUGAGCAGGACAAGGGUCCUCUUGUCUUCUGUGUGUCCCUGAAAUGCAGGCCUUGUACCCCACCCUUCCAACUCCUGCCCCAGGCCCACCCCAUGUUUUCCCCUCACGUCCUCUCUGUGGUCACUCUGUGUUGCCUCCAACCUUUGACCUUUCCCUCUAAAUGUAGCCCAUGACUCUCCACCAAAAAUUCUGAUUUGUUCCAAAUUCCAAACCUUUCAGUGACUGACAGUAAUCUCACCCCAAACACACAAGGCUGGUAGGCCCCCUGCCCAUGGUGGAGGCUGCAGUGUGGGAUCAGCAAUGCCCUGGGGACAGAGCCGGAGGGGACUUCCCAGUCUCAAGGCAGCAACCUGCCUUAAGUUUCCUCACAGCCACAUCUGCUUUUCAGGACAAACUGAGCACCUUGUUAGACAUUCAGAUGCUCACCCAAGAAACAUACGUGUGUGUCCAGCUGCCCACGAGCAUGGAGAGGAAUGCUUCCCCUCCCACCCCAAUGACACCCCAUCAGGGGGCGCUGCCCUGCGACCCAGGGAUCUGCCAUAAAUUUAUCCUUCGGUCCCUCUGUAUCUGCAACUGCUGGUGCCCAUGUUGCCAGCCCCCUCCAUCUGGACGCUCCUCACCAAAUGCGGCCGCUCUUCCCUCCUGCGGCCCAGGCGCUCUGCCCUGCCACAGUACAACUCCCACCCCAUAACCCAGUCUCUGUUUAACAAUAUUGUUAAAGUGCUCUGUGCAAA